GGCCCCAGAGUGUUGUUAGAAGCAUUCGUCUUAUUUGCACGACGUGAUUUAUAAUGAUUGAGUGUCCAACAGACACUUUAGGUAAAGAAGUAAGGGUUCACAAACUUGCUACAAAAUCACAGGACCGAGGCGUUUAUCUUGGCUAUAUAGCAUCAACCACCGGUACCUGCCCAGAACAAUCGAAAGAGAUGGAGAAUACGACUUACAUGUUUUCCAAUGGCACAGAAUCAGCCGGAAAUAAUGGGACAAUCGUUUGCACAACCAAACUAUAUCAGACUUACAUCACAAUAAGUAACAUUCUUAGUAUUUUCAUUGGACAACCUUGGGUUGCAAAAAUGCUGUGGACCACCUUUCACUCAAAGAAGAAGGACAUCCUUAACAUCAAUUUGGCUAUUUUUCACAACAUCCAAUACCUGCUAAUUACUAUACACGUGUGUAUGAUUUAUUUAUACAGGGAACUCAAUUCACAAAUAGUUUCUUUCAUAGCUGUUUAUCUUCUUAUCGGAGGUCCGUUGACUUUAUCCUUCAUCUGUUUGGAGCGGUACAUUGCUGUGAUCCAUCCCACCUUCUAUCCACUGUUGAAGAAGUACAGAUGCAGGGAGGGUUGUGUGCUCUCGAUGUGGUGUAUUGUGUUGCCCACUGCCACGACAAAAGCUUUUUUGGAUGGAUUCAAUAACGUAAGUAAAGUGAUAGACUUAAUGGCGUACACCGUACUGUGCUUCGUGGCAAUUGAAAUGGCUUGGGUCAACAUCGGCAUUCUGAAAGCCCUCAGAACUUCGGGGCCUGCGACUCAUAAAUUGCAUCCUGCCAAAAAGCGAGCUUCUCAAACUGUGUGUGGCAUUGCGUUCAUUGCAAUGAUAUGUUACACUCCAGUGGGUGUAUGUGUUUUUGUCACAUUUAUUAUCGGACCCGAUUCAACUUGUUUUUUAGUUCCUGCUGUCAUAUUACUGGUGUCUGUUGCUAGUGUUGCGCAUCCCAUAUUUUACCUGUCAACUGCAGGGAACCUGCCUUGCCGAAGAUCGUCACCGACUCAGUAGAAACACUGCUUACUGCUAACGAUAUAUUCUCUAUAAAGAGCAGAGCAUACUGCUCCUGUGAAACACAAUUCAUGUACAAUUCAUUGAAAGUUUAUAGGUUUAAACCUUAUCAUUGGCAAAUUGAGAGAUCCAAUGGAAGCGGUCAUGUGAGUGUUUUUGUUUUGUAUAAUAUUAUAAUAUCUCGUAGGCCUAUGCCCGGAUUUCCCAAAAUGCAUGAUGUGAAA
rnacentral:lncRNA from 1 species